GACGAACCGAGCGAACGUUGUUCGGAAUCACUGGGCUUAAAGGGCGCGUAGGCGGGCUGCCGUGUCCGGGGUGAAAUCCCACGGCUCAACCGUGGAACGGCCCCGGGUACGGGCGGCCUCGAGGGGGGUAGGGGCGUGCGGUACUGUGGGUGGAGCGGUGAAAUGCAUUGAGAUCGGAAAGAACACCAACGGCGAAAGCACUCUGCUGGGCCGACACUGACACUGAGAGACGAAAGCUAGGGGAGCAAAUGGG
rnacentral:rRNA from 1 species